rnacentral:lncRNA from 1 species
AUUCCUACAAAAAUAAAGAGACGAGGGAAUGAUCAUGAUUGACAAAGAGACAACUUUACACCUAAGUUCAAAUGAAGUGGAUUUAAGCAAUUAUAGGCCAAGGUACGACCUUAAAAAACGUGAAAAACCAAUACCGUGUGGUUGACUACAAAACAGUAGAUCGUAUGAAAAUACGGAAUAAUAUACUAAGUCAAUAAUCGGCAAAAAC